GUUAUAUCUGAUAAGGAAGCCCCAAGAUAUUUCCAAACACCCCUCUUCUCAGUCAUUUGAAGUAGCCUGUAAAUCUAACAUUUAAUUGAUCUUGCCAUAACAUGAUUGAAAAUAAUUUGAGAUUUAGGAUGGUUAAUUACCGAGCAUAAUAGAGAACAAUAAUAAUCAAUAAUGACUUUCAAACAAGCAAUAUCCCUCACUAUAGCCCUCGAGACUAGUAAGCAAUAAUUAGCAAAGAAAACAAGUGAUACUAUAGGGCUACAUCUAGCCAGUCUAUAUGCCCUCACUAUAUUAUGUUAUUCUCUACCGUAUAAUGGAAGAAUAUAGAUAGAACCUUAGAACAGAGGGUGCAUAAAUCGGAUGAAAAUGAAUAGCCUCGUCUAAGCCCUCCAAUAGGCCAAAACCAC
rnacentral:lncRNA from 1 species